rnacentral:rRNA from 1 species
AGCACAGGGGAGCUUGCUCCCCGGGUGACGAGUGGCGGACGGGUGAGUAAUGUCUGGGGAUCUGCCCGAUGGAGGGGGAUAACUACUGGAAACGGUAGCUAAUACCGCAUAACCUCGAAAGAGCAAAGUGGGGGACCUUCGGGCCUCACACCAUCGGAUGAACCCAGAUGGGAUUAGCUAGUAGGUGGGGUAACGGCUCACCUAGGCGACGAUCCCUAGCUGGUCUGAGAGGAUGACCAGCCACACUGGAACUGAGACACGGUCCAGACUCCUACGGGAGGCAGCAGUGGGGAAUAUUGCACAAUGGGCGCAAGCCUGAUGCAGCCAUGCCGCGUGUAUGAAGAAGGCCUUCGGGUUGUAAAGUACUUUCAGCGGGGAGGAAGGGAUGAAGGUUAAUAACCUUCGUCAUUGACGUUACCCGCAGAAGAAGCACCGGCUAACUCCGUGCCAGCAGCCGCGGUAAUACGGAGGGUGCAAGCGUUAAUCGGAAUUACUGGGCGUAAAGCGCACGCAGGCGGUUUGUUAAGUCAGAUGUGAAAUCCCCGGGCUCAACCUGGGAACUGCAUUUGAAACUGGCAAGCUUGAGUCUCGUAAGGGGGGUAGAAUUCCAGGUGUA